rnacentral:rRNA from 1 species
CCUACGGGAGGCAGCAGUGAGGAAUAUUGGUCAAUGGGCGAGAGCCUGAACCAGCCAAGUCGCGUGAGGGAGUACUGCCCUAUGGGUUGUAAACCUCUUUUGUCGGGGAGCAAAAGCCGGACGUGUCCGGCUGUGAGAGUACCCGAAGAAAAAGCAUCGGCUAACUACGUGCCAGCAGCCGCGGUAAUACGGAGGAUGCGAGCGUUAUCCGGAUUUAUUGGGUUUAAAGGGUGCGCAGGCGGAUUUUUAAGUCAGCGGUAAAAUCGUGGGGCUCAACCCCAUCCAGCCGUUGAAACUGGGGAUCUAGAGUGUGCGAGAGGUAUGCGGAAUGCGUGGUGUAGCGGUGAAAUGCAUAGAUAUCACGCAGAACCCCGAUUGCGAAGGCAGCAUACCGGUGCACAACUGACGCUCAGGCACGAAAGCGUGGGUAUCGAACAGGAUUAGAUACCCGUGUAGUC